rnacentral:rRNA from 1 species
GGAUUAGAUACCCUGGUAGUCCACGCCGUAAACGAUGAGAACUAGACGUUGGGUAUUUAUAUCUGGUGUCGCAGCUAACGCAUUAAGUUCUCCGCCUGGGGAGUACGGCCGCAAGGUUGAAACUCAAAGUAAUUGACGGGGGCCCGCACAAGCGGUGGAGCAUGUGGUUUAAUUCGAUGCAACGCGAAGAACCUUACCUACACUUGACAUCAUCAGAACUUGUUAGAGAUAACUCGGUGCCUUCGGGAACUGAUAGACAGGUGCUGCAUGGCUGUCGUCAGCUCGUGCCG